GACAGAGGUGCCAAGCGUUAGGCGGAAUCACUGGGCUUAAAGCGUGUGUAGGCGGGUCGGUAAGUACCUUGUGAAAUCCCACGGCUCAACCGUGGAACUGCUGGGUAUACUGGCGAUCUUGAGCCACCUAGGGGCAGUCGGAACAAGUGGUGGAGCGGUGAAAUGCGUAGAUAUCACUUGGAACGCCAAUGGUGAAAACAGACUGCUGGGGGUGUGCUGACGCUGAGACACGAAAGCCAGGGGAGCAAACGGG
rnacentral:rRNA from 1 species